CAGCAGCCGCGGUAAUACGUAGGUGGCAAGCGUUGUCCGGAAUUAUUGGGCGUAAAGGGCUCGCAGGCGGUUUCUUAAGUCUGAUGUGAAAGCCCCCGGCUCAACCGGGGAGGGUCAUUGGAAACUGGGAAACUUGGGUGCAGAAGAGGAGAGUGGAAUUCCACGUGUAGCGGUGAAAUGCGUAGAGAUGUGGAGGAACACCAGUGGCGAAGGCGACUCUCUGGUCUGUAACUGACGCUGAGGAGCGAAAGCGUGGGGAGCGAACAGGAUUAGAGACCCCUGUAGUCCCUGUCUCUUAUAC
rnacentral:rRNA from 1 species